CGUAUUGAUAAGUCGCGAGGUGCAAUGGGUACUCGAUCACCAUUAGCAGUUACUACAGCAAUAGUCAAUGGAACUUUAUCGGCUUCACAGUGUCCGCAGUCAUUUCGGUCCAUCAAAGAUGACGCGAGGCGAGUGGGUGUUGCUACCGGGUUUGCUGGGGCUCCUAUUCUCGAGCCUUGGGGUGGCCGCGACGCCGACGAAUGGGGCUUACGCCUCCGGCGUCUGCGCGUUCCUCUGCGACUCGGGUCUCGGCGGCGAGCCCUGCGAGGCCUUUUGCACCAGCCGUCGGCAAUCCGCGAGUCAGUCGAAUACCGUUACGGGAAAGAGGGACGUCGCCGAUCUCGGCCUCGACGCCGCGGCGCCCGCGACCAGGAGUCAAACGGUAUGCGAUUUCCGCUGCGAUCUCGAGCCGCGGCCGACCGGAUGUUCCGGGUGCCCUGGGAUCGGAAUUUCCGGUGGGAAAAUAUCUCUGCCGGUGGACAGUCAUCGACCAGUCGCUACCAGUCCCGGAGCACGUGGUGUACCGGGGACCAGUGACGUCAUCGGAGAACGCGACGCCGGGAAGAACGACGCUGUCGCUGUUGCGGGCGACGAUUUUGACCGGGAGAAAUUCUGCAAGGAGGAAUGCAGGAGAGGAAAUGGCGGGCUCGCCUGCAACUGCGACAUCAUCCCUUAACCGAGCUUGCGGACGUCGUCGUGAUCCCUCCCCAGGAAGAUCGGAACUCGUCCCAUCGUCCUUCCAGACGUAUGAAUCACGUGUAUCGUUGACGAUCUCUCCUCGACUUGUGUCAAUCAUUGCGAAUGACCGAAUCAAGUAUCUGGAAUGAUGCAGGCUUCGAGUCUGUUCACCUGAAACUCAGGCACAAGAAACAUCCCGUAACCCAAAAUCAGUGUCACGUUGCGACAGAGUGCGCUGAGUGAUUCUAUUCAGCGACAUCGCAAUUAAGUUUCCGAUCAAUUAAAUCAGUCUUGAUAUUCCUGAAACCGAUUCCGAAUGGCAUCAAUAUCGCUGACCAUGGAUAAGCUUGAAUCUGAUCCAGAGCCAAGUGUAACGUAAAAAACGCUGAUUUUGUAAUUAUAGAAUGGAGUUAAAGUAAUAAGGCGGUUCAUGUGUAAGUGUAUAAUAAUGUUAAGCGCACCGUGUCAAAGUAUCUUAUUUGAUUGUGAAAUGGGUUGGAUGCUGAUGUGCAAUUUUACGCCAUGGCUGUUGACUAGACGCGUUUUUUAAAAUGGAAAUACUGUUCUUGAAGCGAUCUGUCGGAGCCAUAUAUGAUAUGUAUCUUAGAAUUAAGGAUUUCUACACUGUAAGUUCAGUUCGCACGAUGAAAACCGAUUCUCCGAUAUUCUCUGUCCAAUGUAUAGCCAAUGGAACUAAUUGUAAAACAGACGCAGAUAUAAUGCAAUUGGCUUGAAGCGCCGUGGCGUCCUGAUGGACAACCACGUGUGCAAUCAUCACAACAGCCAUGUUCUCAUCUCCAGCCGCAAGGUGCAAUACUUGGUUUAAAUACUUGGUCAUUGAUCGUAUGAACGCGACUUAAAUGUGCGAUAUGUGUAUUAUGCAAUAAUAUGUAAUCGAUCGCGAUACUCGAUGAUAAUAAACGAGUGUUGCGUUAUCGUAAAAUAUGUAAAUAGGCUUGAUCGGCGUGUAACGUUAAGGAUUGUUUUCCGGUAGCUUUUACACAUGCGGAUAUAAAUUUGUAAACAAAAUCAUUGUCUUCCAUUGAUAGUUUACGAUGUAAUUCGUAAUUUUAUAUUUAAGAUUGUUGCAAUGAGGUCAGCCCGUUGUUUCGUUAGCUUUAUGAUUAACAGCAUAUCCAACAUUUCAAAUCUUCCCUCUGAGCUGUUUCGCAAAUUUUACAUAUGCAAUUAAAUUUCCUUGCUGGGAUAGAUUGUGCUAUAAAAACAUGAUUAUUAACGAGAAUUCACGUUUCGUAAUUUAAAAAUUUUUAACGCAACUCUGAGUUACAACGAAAAUUUUUGUUCAGUCAUUUUUUACUCGACAACCUGUCGCAUGAACACAGACAGAAUGAAUUUAAGCAAUCAUUGUAAGACGUGCUUUUAGACGUGGUGAAAAAUCUGCUCAUACGCGUCAAGUUUUAAUUGCAUACCUAUAAUAUUGAUAGUCGAGAACAUAAAUUAUUUGUACACGUGUUUGUUCAGUGUUUAAUGGUUAUUGUAAUAUACGUUAAAGAAAUAUUGUUAAAAACAAAAUAAAUAAAUAAACGCUUGCGAGUCUAUAAGCUACGGUACACCGUUUCAAAAGUUGUGACGCGACAAUAAUACGUAGAUGCUAGGGAUGCGUGUAUGUGAAACAUAUGCUGUAUUUGGUAAUAAUGAUGUUGUAUUAACGAUGAUAUAGGUAUAACAAUUACGCUAAAACGUUACGAUAAACUUGACUUUAUACGUAUUAUCUGUAAGUAUAAUAGGUAUAUAUUAUGUAAAAAAUUUUAUGGUGUGAAUGCAAUUUGGUAUGGAAAAACGUACCUGUGUAAUACCGAUGCAUACAUGUUAUAGGCGUUGGGAUCUAUAUCUGCAAUAUACACUUUAUAAUCUACCCGCUUUGCUUACCGUGUUUAAAUUUAAUUAGGAAUCCCCGAUGUAGCUCGAUUCCAAGUUCGGUAGGAUGAGUCUGAUUAGUAUUUUCUCAGUCAUCCUGCUCUUCCAAGAUGACUGAUGUAGAUCAAACUAAUGUAUUGUUAGCCAUUUUCUAGUAAAGCCCAAAAAAACUCAAUUUGCAGUAGUUUUUCACUACUAUUACAUUAUACUUUUCUAAUGUCGGCGAUUGAAAAUGCGGAUGAUCCAUCUGAGCUAUGAUAUUUGACGACGAUUUAAUUGCUUUCAAAUUACUGUGUACAUAUAUUAGUAUCCGAACAAUAUUACAAAUGAUUGUACUCGAAAGUAGAAUUUUAAUAAAACGGAUUUUUGGCCGUCACCCACGUGAUCUAUGAAGUC
rnacentral:misc_RNA from 1 species